UACGGAGGGUGCAAGCGUUAUCCGGAUUCACUGGGUUUAAAGGGUGCGUAGGCGGGCAGGUAAGUCCGUGGUGAAAUCUCUGAGCUUAACUCAGAAACUCGCCAUGGAUACUAUUUGUCUUGAAUGUUGUGGAGGUAAGCGGAAUAUGGUCAUGUAGCGGUGAAAUGCUUAGAUAUGACAUAGAACACCAAUUGCGAAGGCAGCUUACUACACAAAUAUUGACGCUGAGGCACGAAAGCGUGGGGAUCAAACAGG
rnacentral:rRNA from 1 species